GUGGGGAAUAUUGGACAAUGGGCGAAAGCCUGAUCCAGCCAUGCCGCGUGUGUGAAGAAGGUCUUCGGAUUGUAAAGCACUUUAAGUUGGGAGGAAGGGCAGUAAGUUAAUACCUUGCUGUUUUGACGUUACCAACAGAAUAAGCACCGGCUAACUUCGUGCCAGCAGCCGCGGUAAUACGAAGGGUGCAAGCGUUAAUCGGAAUUACUGGGCGUAAAGCGCGCGUAGGUGGUUCAGCAAGUUGGAGGUGAAAUCCCCGGGCUCAACCUGGGAACUGCCUCAAAAACUACUGAGCUAGAGUACGGUAGAGGGUAGUGGAAUUUCCUGUGUAGCGGUGAAAUGCGUAGAUAUAGGAAGGAACACCAGUGGCGAAGGCGACUACCUGGACUGAUACUGACACUGAGGUGCGAAAGCGUGGGGAGCAAACAGGAUUAGAAACCCUGGUAGUCC
rnacentral:rRNA from 1 species